GAUGAACGCUAGCGGCAGGCCUAAUACAUGCAAGUCGAACGGUAAAUGUCCCUUCGGGGGCAUGAGAGUGGCGCACGGGUGCGUAACGCGUAUGCAACCUACCCAAUGCUGGAGGAUAGCCCGGAGAAAUUCGGAUUAACCCUUCAUGAGGAGCUUUGGAGGCAUCUUCGAGGUUUCAAAUAUUCAUAGGCGUUGGAUGGGCAUGCGUGCUAUUAGAUAGUUGGCGGGGUAACGGCCCACCAAGUCGACGAUAGCUAGGGGAUCUGAGAGGACGGUCCCCCACACUGGUACUGAGACACGGUCCAGACUCCUACGGGAGCAGCAGUGAGGAAUAUUGGUCAAUGGGCGGGAGCCUGAAACCCAGCCAAGUAGCGUGAAGGAUGGACUGCCCUACGGGUUGUAAACUUCUUUUGUUGGGAAUAAAGACGCUACGUGUAGCGUUCUGCAUGUACCUUACGAAUAAGCAUCGGCUAAUUCCGUG
rnacentral:rRNA from 1 species